GAGAAAACCCAUGUGCGUAGGUACAGAUGCAAAAUACAGCAUUUUCUCUCUGCAAGGGACCGUAUUUGGAGACUUGCAGCAUCAGCAAGAAUCGCUCCAGUUGUCUCAGUAUCACCCAGAUGUUCUGGGUAUGAAGAUUCUAAACCAAAAUAUGCCUUCUGUAUAUUUUGCUGCUCUGUGAAAGACUCAGCUCCAGGCUGACCCAGAUGCACGGGAAAGUGUAUACAAAGCAGGGCGAGGAGCGUGGAAAGCAGGACUGUAUGUCCACAUUGAUGGCAGCUCUGAAAAGCCAACCUCCAUGCGGAGACAGGUGGGAGGGGCUGCUGGGAGAAGUCUGUUGGAGCUUGUUCAUGCUGAGAGGUUGGGGGUGUGAUUUGAGGUACAGUUUUUUCAAUAAUUAGUAUGAAGUUAAAAAAAAAAAGCAUGCAUUCUUUUGAAGGCAGGGGCCUUGCUCUACUGACCCCUUUUGGUCGCUUGUGGACCGAGGAGUCAGGGUAAGGGAGCCCAAAAGUGGGGAGGUCCUGAGAUGGUUCUCACCGGUGUGUUGUGGCUGGGUAACCUGGGAAGCCGGGAGGAGGACAAGCUGCAGGUUUUCACGGCAUCUGGAGGCCUUUCCUGGGAGGCCCUGCCUGCGGUGUUCUGGUGAAAACCCGUUCCUUCCCCCGAGCCUCCUGAGCAUCUGCAACUGGUAUGCGCUCCAGGGGCUGCUGAGGGGGCCUGGCCUGCUGCCCACCUCUUAGCUGGCUCUGCAACUGCAGGAAGGAGGGGUCUGCACCCCACGGGGCCACUGCCUUGGAAGCUGUGAGGCUGUCAAGACUCUGGAUCUGCAACUUCUCCAUCUGGCUGGAAAGGAAGCAGGGGAAGAAGCUGCUGGGAUGGAAUGACGCCCUGAGGAUUUCACUCCCCUCUUCCUACCACACACCAGACCGGGCCACCAGGAUGCCUGGGACAUUUGGUUGUUUCUAGGUUUUGGCCAUUAUGAAUAAAGCUACUAUAAACAUCUGUAUACAAGUUUCUGUGUGGACAUAAGUUUUCAACUCCUUUGGAGAAAUUUCAGAGAUCAUGACUGCUGGAUUAUAUGGAGACCCCACACAGCAGAAUGGAAGCUUCUGGUGACCAGUCUUCCACUUCCCUUGCAGAGGAGACAUUGAUCACCAUGAAGACAGGCCGUAAGCAAAAGCUGGGGACAGAAAUGUUUGGGGUUGUGUACCAGGCCGUUGUUUCUAGGUACCUCUGCAGGAUCUCGAAGGACUUCCCUGAGAUCACCAAGGGACAGAAAUUCACAUUGCACACCUCCGUGGGUCACCAUUCACAUUUCAGUCUGCUGGGGAACGGUACUCCAGGGUGCCUUUCACACGGUCUACAAUGGGGGAUGUGUAGUGUGACUCAGUAUUUUCCCUCUCUGUGUUUGAUAGAUGUCUCUGGCAUUCUAUAAAACAAUGGCUUUUUCACAGGUGGUCCUGGCACCUCCACUGGACUUCAGUGGGGUACUCCCUGCUCUAUCGCCUGUCUUCCUGCUAUGACUGGAUACAGGCUGGUAAGAGAAGGGUGAGCAUGUCAUUCUGCGUUCUUUUCCCUUUUCUGCUAACCCACGAAGCUCUCCAGUGAAUCGCCAUGAGCAGAUGAGACCAAAUUAGAACAAAAUCCCUCCACUCCAGAGACUGAAGCUAGGUCUUCCUGAAAAAGUAUUUAAUAUAGUUUUAAUGUUCAUAUAAUCCUUAAAUCUGGCUAAUUUUUAAGAACCUUCCAUUUGCAAGAUUACAUUUACGACUUUCUCUCAGUGCCUCGAUUUUCUCAUCUGUAAGAUGGGCUGUAAUAUAAUGGGUUAUUGAGAGCAUCAUAUGAAUUAAUAUAAGAAAAGUCCUUCUGUCAAGUACUAAGUGUUAUUAUUAAAUGAGAAAUGUAAUAAAUAAGCACGUACAAUGAUGGUUUUUUUUCUUUUUCUUUUUAAAUAAGAUGGGGUCUUGCUACGUU